UUCUUCUUGUCGGAGUGCCUAGUGUUUAUAAGGCUAUUAUAAACACAGGCUGAGACCGUUAAUUCGGGAUCCGCGGAACCUGAUCGGGUUAAUACCCGCGAAGGGAACAAGAGUGAUUCGACC
rfam:Proteus penneri ATCC 35198 genomic scaffold Scfld2, whole genome shotgun sequence.